AUUAAAAAAAAAAUUAGUAUAAAUUUAAAUUAAUAAAAAUAAUUUUUAAUAAAAUAUUUGGGGGGGUUUAAGUAUUUUAUAAAGAAAAAAUUUUUUAAUUUAUAAAGAAUUAGUAUUGUGAAAGAAUUUUGAAAUAGUUGAAAAUUAAUUUUUUUUUAAGUAAAUUUAAUUUAUUGUAUCUUGUGUAUCAGAGUUUAUUAAUAAAAUAUUUUAGUUGAAAAUUUUCUCGAAUUUAAAAGAGUUAAUUAAUUAAGAAAUUUAUUGUGGAAAAAAUAUUUUUCAUAGUUAAUUAGAAAUGAAAUGUUAAUCGUUUUUAAAUAUAUCUAGUUUUUUUAGAAAAAAAUUUAAUUUUAAAUUGUUUUAAUAAAAAUGUUAAAUAAAAAAUAUUUUUAAAAAAAAAUUUAAUAUAUUAAGGGAUAAGCUUUAAUUUAAAUUAUUAUAAAAUAUUUUUUUUUUUAUUGAAAAUUUUAAAAUUUGUAUUGUUUAUAAACUAUAAUUUUUUAUAAAUAAUUUCAUUAAAAAUAAAAUUUAAUUAAAUUUUAAUUUUUUAUAAAAAAUUAAAAUUUAAUAGUAAAAUUUUAAUUAUAAUGAUAAAAUUAGUAUAAAAAUUAUAUUUAUAAUUAAAUUAUAUAAAAUUAAAUUAAUAAAAUAAAUUUAUAUGUAAAAUAAAUUAUAAGGAAUUCGGCAAAAAUUUAUAUUCACUUGUUUAUCAAAAACAUGUCUUUUUGAAUAAUAAUUUAAAGUCUAAUCUGCCCACUGAUAAAAUAUUAAAGGGCUGCAGUAUUUUGACUGUACAAAGGUAGCAUAAUCAUUAGUCUCUUAAUUGGUGACUUGUAUGAAAGAUUGGAUGAAAUAUAUACUGUCUUAUUUUUUUUUAUAGAAUUUAAUUUUUUAGUUAAAAAGCUAAAAUAAAUUUAAAAGACGAGAAGACCCUAUAGAGUUUUAUAUAGAACAAUAAUUAAAAAUUUUUUUAUUAAUUUAAAAUUAAAAUUUAAUUUUAUAUUUUGUUGGGGUGAUAGAAAAAUAAAAUAAACUUUUUUUAUAUAAUAUAUAUAUAUAUAUAUAUAUAUAUAAUUAACAUAUAUAAAUGAUUAAAUGAUCCAUAAUUUUUGAUUAUAAGAUUAAAUUACCUUAGGGAUAACAGCGUAAUUUUUUUUUUUAGUUCAAAUAAAAAAAAAAGUUUGCGACCUCGAUGUUGGAUUAAGAUAAAAUUUAAAUGCAAAAGUUUAAAAUUUUGAUCUGUUCGAUCAUUAAAAUCUUACAUGAUCUGAGUUCAAACCGGUGUGAGCCAGGUUGGUUUCUAUCUUUAAAUAGUUAAAAUAUUUUAGUACGAAAGGAUUGAAUAUUUAAAAUAAUUUUAUAGUGAUUGAAUGUUAAUAAAAUUUAUUUAUAAUAUUAAAAUUAAA
rnacentral:rRNA from 1 species